rnacentral:rRNA from 1 species
GCUUGCUUUUUUGAUGACGACCGGCGCACGGGUGCGUAACGCGUAUGCAAUCUACCUUUUGCUACUGGAUAGCCCAGAGAAAUUUGGAUUAACACAGUAUAGUAUCAUAUUACUGCAUGGUAUUUAUGAUUAAAGGCUACGGCAGAAGAUGAGCAUGCGUCCUAUUAGCUAGUUGGUGUGGUAACGGCAUACCAAGGCAACGAUAGGUAGGGGCCCUGAGAGGGGGAUCCCCCACACUGGUACUGAGACACGGACCAGACUCCUACGGGAGGCAGCAGUGAGGAAUAUUGGACAAUGGAGGCAACUCUGAUCCAGCCAUGCCGCGUGCAGGAUGACUGCCCUAUGGGUUGUAAACUGCUUUUAUACAGGAAGAAACCGCUCUACGUGUAGAGCUCUGACGGUACUGUAAGAAUAAGGAUCGGCUAACUCCGUGCCAGCAGCCGCGGUAAUACGGAGGAUCCAAGCGUUAUCCGGAAUCAUUGG